rnacentral:lncRNA from 1 species
AGACAGGAGUCUCACUCACGCCCAGGAUGGAGUGCGGUGGCACGAUCUCGGCUCACUGUAACUUCUGCCACCCUGGUUCAAGCGAUUCUUGUGCCUCAGUAGCUGGGACUACAGGCAUCUGCCACCAUGCCCAGCUAAUUUUUGUAUUUUUAGUAGAGACAGGGUUUUGCCACGUUGGCCAGGCUGGUCUCGAACUCCUGACCUCAAGUGAUCUGCCUGCCUCGGCCUCCCAAAGUGCUGGGAUUACAGGCGUGAGCCACCAUGCCCAGCCUGCCUGGCUGAUUUUUUAAAAUUUGUCGUUGAGGCAGGAGGAUCACUUGAGUCCAGGAGUUCG